rnacentral:lncRNA from 1 species
AAAUUAGACAUGCCUGUUUUUCUUCUCUUACAACUGUCAGCAUUAUUAUCUGAGCAUUUGCCGGCCUCUUUUGACGCAGUGUAUGUCAAACGAAUGCGUAAAGAACCCACACUUGAUUUACAUUCCUGAAAAGGGGUUAUUUGUGUAGAUGGUUAUUUGAAAAGAAUCCUACAUUUCUAAUUGAUGUUUGUGUAUAAAACUUCAGAGUCCUGGUGGUGCUAUUGCUCUUUUGGAUGA